AUAGCAGCAGCCGUUGACAUGGCCGACGCGGGUCAAAUUGUGGUAUCUGUUCUUAUCAGCUUAAUAUCUGAUACGGGUUGUAUUUGGACCCACAAUAUUAAGCUUAUUUUUGCAAGUGCGUGGAGUGCUUGAAGCUUGCUUCACCUCCGGCGCGGGUCAGCCCGUUAUUGGACUGUAUUCGGGAUCGGCCCACGUUUU